rnacentral:rRNA from 1 species
CACGUAGGGUGCGAGCGUUGUCCGGAAUUAUUGGGCGUAAAGAGCUCGUAGGCGGUGUGUCGCGUCGGCCGUGAAAACCUGCAGCUUAACUGUGGGCUUGCGGUCGAUACGGGCAUCACUGGAGUUCGGCAGGGGAGACUGGAAUUCCUGGUGUAGCGGUGAAAUGCGCAGAUAUCAGGAGGAACACCGAUGGCGAAGGCAGGUCUCUGGGCCAUAACUGACGCUGAGAAGCGAAAGCAUGGGGAGCAAACAGG